rnacentral:lncRNA from 1 species
GUAUUCCUCCUUAUUCCUUGCUCCUGAUUAUCAUGUGGGAAAAAACGUCCAAUACUAGCAGGAAUAUAUACCGUGAAAGAGGGUCGCCUUGGAGAAGUCCUCUUUGUGGCUUGAUCUUCUCUCCGCAAACUCCAUUGAUCUUGUAACGGUAAGUAACCCCCAUGACCAGCGCCAUGACUAUUUUAACCUAGUUCGAAUGAAAACCAUAUGCUAACAAUCCUUUUUCCAGGAACUUCCACUCUACUUGAUCGAAGGCUUUAUUCAUGUCAAGCUUGACACUCAAAUGAUCUCUGCCUAUUCUGCAUCUCUUCUUCAGUGCGUUAAAUGCCUCUUGCACUAUAAUAAGAUUGUCCUGAAUUUGUCUCCCCCUAUUAAAAGCAUUCUUCUGGGGGGUGAUGAUAGAAUUCAUUGCUGGUUUCAGUCUUGUUACCAAGAUCCUGGAGAUGAUUUUACAAACAAAGUUACAGCAGCUGAUGGGUCGAAAGUUGGAGAUAGAUUCUGGAUUUUGGGUUUUUGGAGCCAAGGUAACUAGUGCCUCAUUUAUAUCUUCUGGUAGAUUCCAUGUGUCAAAGAAAGAAAUUACUGCCUUACUCACUUCUUCUCCUACUGUGUCCCAUUGUUUUUGGUAGAAUAGACUGUUCAAUAUGUCCGGUCCAGGAGCUUUCAUGCUUCCCAGGCAGAAGGCAGCCUCCUUGACUUCAUUUUCCGUUACAGGCUCUAAGAGUUCCCUGUUCAGACUUUCAUAGAUGACUCUUGGAACUGCGUUGAGGCAUUCAGUGAUAUUCUGGCGGUUCGUGCUUUUGUAAAUAUCUGGAUAGAAGUCUGGCACAUCUCGAUUUAUAGCUAAUUGGCUUCUAACCCAGGUACCUUGCAUAUCCUUGAUCCUCUCAAUUCGAUUUCUUUCUCUACGUUGGACAGUGGAAGCAUGAAAGAACUUUGUGUUCUUGUCCCCGCUUUUCAACCAUUUGAUUCUUGAUCUUUGGCUCCAGAAUAGUUCCUCUUGCCUCCAAAGAUCUUUUAGUCUCAUUUUCCUUUGCUUAAUUUCCUGCCAGUCCUCCCCAGAAUUGCUGUAAUUUUGUAGGUGUUCCAACUGAUUCUUGAGCUCAGCUAUUUCCUUAUCAGCUCUAGAGAAGUUCUGGUGAUGCCAUUCAGUGAGCGCCAGUUUUGUGUUUGUUGUUUUCCCAGAUAAGUUGCUACAAUGACUACUAGCAGUUUCACUAGUAUUAUCCCAAGCUUUCUUUAUGGUUUCUUUACAU